rnacentral:lncRNA from 1 species
GUCAUGUUGUAAGUGAUGUAGCAGAGUCAUGCUUGUAAUCUGAAUCUCAUUCUCGUCAAUCGAAGUCUUGUCUUAGGAUUUUCUACUUUCUAGUACCCAUCGAUGCUAUGAGAAAUCUAAAACACCAAAAACACAAUUGACGCCCCCGAAUAGAUUACAUAAACAAGAAAUCAAAACAAAAACAUGCGGUAUUAUUUGACUAAUUAAUGAAGGGGGAAAAUGCCUAUGGUUUUGCUGGUAAAACAGAAGAGAAUAGGGAAUACCUGGGCGACGAGAUAGAUAGCCGGCGUGAGUGAGAGUGACCGGCAGCCGCGACAACGUGAGCGAGAGUAACCGGCUGCGCCGCGACGCAAGGGGUGAGGG